rnacentral:rRNA from 1 species
AUUGAACGCUGGCGGCAGGCCUAACACAUGCAAGUCGAGCGGAUGAAGGGAGCUUGCUCCUGGAUUCAGCGGCGGACGGGUGAGUAAUGCCUAGGAAUCUGCCUGGUAGUGGGGGGUAACGUCCGGAAACGGGCGCUAAUACCGCAUACGUCCUGAGGGAGAAAGUGGGGGAUCUUCGGACCUCACGCUAUCAGAUGAGCCUAGGUCGGAUUAGCUAGUUGGUGGGGUAAAGGCCUACCAAGGCGACGAUCCGUAACUGGUCUGAGAGGAUGAUCAGUCACACUGGAACUGAGACACGGUCCAGACUCCUACGGGAGGCAGCAGUGGGGAAUAUUGGACAAUGGGCGAAAGCCUGAUCCAGCCAUGCCGCGUGUGUGAAGAAGGUCUUCGGAUUGUAAAGCACUUUAAGUUGGGAGGAAGGGCAGUAAGUUAAUACCUUGCUGUUUUGACGUUACCAACAGAAUAAGCAUCGGCUAACUUCGUG